AGUGAACGCUGGCGGUAGGCCUAACACAUGCAAGUCGAACGGCAGCACAGUAAGAGCUUGCUCUUACGGGUGGCGAGUGGCGGACGGGUGAGGAAUACAUCGGAAUCUACUUUUUCGUGGGGGAUAACGUAGGGAAACUUACGCUAAUACCGCAUACGACCUACGGGUGAAAGCAGGGGAUCUUCGGACCUUGCGCGAUUGGAUGAGCCGAUGUCGGAUUAGCUAGUUGGCGGGGUAAAGGCCCACCAAGGCGACGAUCCGUAGCUGGUCUGAGAGGAUGAUCAGCCACACUGGAACUUAGACACGGUCCAGACUCCUACGGGAGGCAGCAGUGGGGAAUAUUGGACAAUGGGCGCAAGCCUGAUCCAGCCAUACCGCGUGGGUGAAGAAGGCCUUCGGGUUGUAAAGCCCUUUUGUUGGGAAAGAAAAGCAGCAGGUUAAUACCCCGCUGUUCUGACGGUACCCAAAGAAUAAGCACCGGCUAACUUCGUG
rnacentral:rRNA from 1 species